rnacentral:tRNA from 1 species
GUGGAUAUAGCUCAGAGGUAGAGCAAAUGCUUAGCAUGCAGGAGGUUCUGGGUUCAAUCCCCAGUACCUCCA